UGCUAGAUAGCUCAGUUGGUAGAGCACGAGACUCUAAAUCUCAGGGUUGUGGGUUCGAGCCCCACCUUUGGCAA